AAGACAGUGAGUUAGUUCUGACGAGCCAAUCAGAUUGCUGCGUUCAGGUGACAGGAAGUCGACUUUCAGCUGCAUCUCACGCUCUGAGCCCAGCUGCAGCUGAAAGCUCUGGAAACGCUAAGAGUGAGGUCCGUAAAGACCGGACCUCGGCCCCAGACGACACCUACGGGACGAACCGGAACCUCGGACACUCGCGGUUAAGGGCGUGGCAUUUAGGUCCGAUUGAGCUUGGGCAGGAUUCACGUGUCGUGCAGGCAACAAUUUGUCUUUUCGUCCUUUCACUCGCAAAGGAAAACCAACUGACGGAACGUCGAGGCUCUGAAAGGCGGCGGGCGGCGGAACGCUUCCUCCGCUUUGUGCAAGGACAGUUUGAGUAGCUGCAAUCAGCCCGACGCACUCAGUCGCCGCUGCACUCGCUCCGUGUGUGUCUCCCACGCACGCUCACACACACACACACACACACACACACACACACACAAGUGUGUGUUUCAUGUAAGUGUUUCA